UAUGCCUUGGUACCUAAGGUGGAAGAAGAGGAGGAGGAGGAGGAGAACAGGAGGAGGAGGAGGAGGAGGGUGUGUGUUAUUGAAUGGGAGCGAAAAAGCCUCCUCGGGACGGCGCGGAGGCUGAACCCGGCUCGCUGAGCCUCCUCUCUCGGCUGGGCCCAGAGCCCCCAGCAGCCGAUGAGACCGAGACCCCCCUCCCCCUCUGGCUGGCAGGCAUGUAGCUGAAAGAAGACAUGCUUCCUUGAAGUGGAGAAAUUCUGUACAACCAGUUGUACGACUUACAUAUCUAUGAUCCUUACAACAUCUGUUCCAAGAAAGACCAGGUGCCAGAAAGUCUGGGGACAAGAGAAGAUGCCCAUUUGCAAGCUGAGUGAUGCAGAUUUGCUUUGGGAAUGUCAAUAAAACAAUAUUCUUCCCAACAACAGUUAAUGGGAGAUGGAACCCAGAUUCUGUUUAUCCUGAACUGAUCAAUAAUUAAAAGACAGGAUCUAGAGGCUAACAGCAUCUGACACCUUUUGUGAUCCAGGAAGGAUGAUGAUAUUUUGAAUAGACUCUAUGGAGAUCAAAUGAUGGAACAACUAUAAGAAGGGAGCCCACCGGACAGAGAGUAGCAAGCUUUGCCUAACCAGCAGAUACUUGCUCGUGUGUGCAUCCCAAGUGCCUGCAGUCUAGCUGUGGAGCUAACAGAGGCCUGAAACCUACAGACAACAGACUGCUCAGUAAUUCUUGCCACGGGGCGAAGAAUCAAAGGAUCACUCUGUCUGUGAAAUCCAGCACCAGCUUUUUCCAUCUGAAGCCUCAUCAUUCCCAAGCCUUGUAUCCAAGCUGUGUAUACUUGCUGCCCCACGUCGGACCCUGGUGUGAGGAAAGGAUGGACAGAGACCAGAAGAAAAGUGUACACGGCUUAAAUGUAGGAAAUUCUUAUUGAAGGUGGUUUUGGAAACAAAAAGCAUUUUGGGAUUUGCUGCAGUAUUUCACUUUUUUAAUGGCCUUCUGUUAAUCUGUGAAAUUAUUAACAGAAAAUGCAUUUAAUGGAAAACCAGGUGGAGAAACAAUAUUAUUUAUUUAUUUAUUUAGUACUUUUAUAUACCACCCCAUACAAGGAGCCCUACAGUCUCCAGCAGAUGAUCAAAAAAAUUAACCUCAUUUUAAAGGCAGGCUCUAUGCAGCUCCCAGUGGUUCUGAAGAUCAGCCGAGGCUGGACUUGGCUUUCUUAACCCAGUUUUGGCUGAUCACCAGAACAGCCUCAUGGAGUUUAAAUACUAUGAGAAAUACGUGCAGAAAAAUGUGGUAUACAUUUCAUACAUACAUACAUACAUACAUAUUAUUAUCAUUAAUUUUUAAAAAUUCAUUUAAAACAUUUAUUUCAUUGCACUAGCUAUGCUAUGUUUCAACUUAUUGUGAUGGACCUCAUUCAGGAAGAUAAAGUAAUCAGAAAUGUGAUAAAGUAAUAUGACUAUCUUGGAUAUGCAGCCAGUAAGGCAACAUGGUAUCUUUUAUUGGAAUUAGAUAUUUUACAGAUAUUUGAAACAAUUAAAAGGAAGCUCCACAUUACACAGAGCUCUUUUUAGGCUUUGGAUGACCAAUAAUUUACUUAGAGGCUAUUCUGACGAUCACUAGAAACUGGGCUAGGGAAGCCCAGGCUGGUUUCUAGUGAUCGUUAGAACCACCGGGCUCGCCCACGAGCCAGGUGGUUACAUGGUAGCUAGCCCACCUAGGAACCCCUCCCCUUAAACAAGGUUAAUGAGCGCUCACUCCGUUAACUGUGUUUUUGCAGUCAUGAGAUGCCACAGCACAGCUUCGCACUGCAACGACUCUCAAGGAGACCCCUGCCGGGAGUCCAAUAAGCCUCCCAGCCUCAGGGGUCUCUACAGGAUGCAUCCUGGGACUUCCGGGGGCUGGCUAGCCCCGGAUCUCCACCACCCCUGCUGAAUCCCUGACAGACCUGGCAAACAUGUGGGCAGCCAAUCCAGCCACCCAGGGACGGCUCCCCACACAAACCCUAAUGGCGCUUCACAACAAUUGUGUGAAGUACCUCCUUUUUUAUUAAUGACUAUGCUCUUAGACAAAUGGACUAAUGUCAGCAAUAGAAUGGAAUGUUCUUGAAAGCAAAAGAACAGAAAGGUUUAAACAAAGACAGUGUUAAUUGAACUAAAAACUGUUCUUAUUGGAUGGAUCAGAUUACCCCCAAACCUAAAACAAGGCAAAAAAGAAGAAGAAGAAGAAGAAGAAGAAGAAGAAGAAGAAGAAGAAGAAGAAGAAGAAGAAGAAGAAGAAGAAGAAGAAGAAGAAGAAGGGAGAUCUUCUCACAAUCAGUAAGAAGAGCUCACUGGCCAUCUGCGGGAAAGGAGGGUUUCACUUACCCUCCCACAGAUGAUCGGCUGGCAGUUCCUGGGCAGGCAGAUUGCCUGCCCAGAUGAGCAGCAGCUCACCUGCGGCUUGCCCAACAGCUUUGGGGGGCGGGGUGCCAGGACAUGCCACCGUGUGUCGCCCCACCCCCAGGAGUCCAAAUAAUGCACUGCGCGAUGCAUUACUGGGAUCCCCCCAUCCCCCUUGAGUGUACCAGCCACAUGAUCAACAAAAUGACGUUAAGGGUACGCUCUCUCCUUAACCUCAUUUUAGAAGGAGGCUACAUAGGCAGAUUUGCCACCGGGAUCAGGCGCAAUCCCGGUGGUUUACACUCGCGUACAAAACCGGGCUGGGCCUCCUUAGCCCAGUUUUGCAUGUUUGUGUGAAUAGCCUCAAGAUGUAGCAAAACAAUUUUUUUCACCAGGAAAUAGAGAAAGAAGUUUAAGACCGGCCAGCCCCUGUAAACACAUAAUCCCUUUUUGCUUCUUGAGGGAGAAACGUUGAAUCUGGACAUCUACCAUAAGCUGCUAGGGGUUAGAAGAAUUUGGAGAUCAGUGCCAGGGCUGAUCCUGUGGGCUGGAAGACCAUCAGCAAGCCCUUGGGGCCAUGUACAUUUCCUUCUGCCUCCUUCACAUCCAAGAAAGAGCUUGGAAUGUACUUGCACUGUCAACACCCAUGGUCCAGAACAGUCUUCAGCUCAAUGGAAAGAGUUCCUUCUGUGCACUGAUAUUUGUUCUCUCUUUGUCUGCCCUUCCCUCUUGAGUGUCAGCUUCACUUAUGUAUCAGUAGCUUUCAAACAAUGCUCCAGGGAACUCUUCAGUUCCUCAGAAGCUUUUACCGGGUUCAUCAUUGAGAAUAGUGGACUUGCUUCCUGGAAAGACAAGCUUGCCUACUACUGCUCUCUCCCUGCAAAUAGUGAAGGUGUUAGUUUGUGUGAGCCAACAAUAAGGCCCAAUAGGCCUGUGACCAGCGAUCUGUGCAAACAGAUUGUGCACUCAGGAUCAUGCCUCAGAAUUCUCUAAUAUGCAAGGGUUUUUUUUAAUCAUGGCAAUUGCACAGGGCACCUCAGCAGACAAAUUGAUCUGAAAGGUAUUUGUUGAAGGAAGAAUGUUUUGAGGUCACUGGCUGACAUCCUGACUAACAAAGUGCACCUGUAAGUAGAGUCUGUGGGAAUGCUCUGAGAGCCCUCACACAAUCCCCUCGGUUCUCCUGUAUGUGUGCUGUUUUGCAGAGGCCUAAUACUUCCAAGAAUUGCUUGUGCUAGAGCAGCACUCUGAAAUGUUGGAAACACAUCACUGAGGGUCAGCAACAUGUUUCCAGUCUUGCAGAGUGCAAGCAGCAUUCCAAAAAGUAGUCCUCCUCUGCCGCAACAGUGUGCGUGUAGGAGGACUGGUAGAGUUCCACAAGGCUCCUGGCCAUUCCCUGCAGACCCUCCUUACACAUGCAUUCCAUUAGUCAAGAUGUCAGUCAACAACUUGAGUCUUAGCCCCUUUUUACAUUCAGUGAACAUACAGCUGUUAACAUUUUGUAAAAUUCUUACACGGAAGACACAUCUAUAUGUAUUUCAAAAAUCUGUGUAUAGAUUGCAAUGUGUAAUGGUUACACACAAUCUUUUUUGCUUUUUGUAUAUGUUCUAGGAAAGCCAUAUGUAUACAGUGAAUAUACACAGAGCCAAAUAUAUAUAUAUUUUGCAUUUAUGACCAUCACAUAUAAUAGUCUACACAUUAUUUCAGGUUUCAUGUUAUUACCUGUACUGAAGUGCCUCUCCUGUAGUUAAUUGGUCCUUAGCGCUGAGAUGCAUCUGCUAACUGUGAAGUACUUGUCUAAAUAAUCUUUAAAAAGAUUUAAAGGCUCUACACAUGAUCAUUGUGGACAGUCAAAAGGGGUUCUUCAGGGAAAGUGGACUUGACCCGCUCUCCCCACAGACAAUCACUCAACCAUUCCCAGGUGGACAGGUUGCCACCUCCCGCGCCUGGCCGCGGCCCACUUGGGAGCUCCGGGGGUCAGGCAAUGGGAAGGCGCCCCACCCCCCUGAGCCCCAGUAAUGCAUCGUGCAAAUGUGCGGUGCAUUCCUGGGGUCCCCCCUCCCCUCUCUCCUCUUCUCCGAGUGUGCUCGCCAUGGCUGCAAGCAGCCACAGCAGCCACUUGGUCCAUAAACCCAUUUUUGGGUGCGCUCGCAUCCAAAACCUGGGUUAGGCAGUGGGCUCUGUCAGCGGGCUUGCUGCUGCACCGCUGCCAGGAGCUGCGUGGCUCCCGUUGCUGCACACAAGCAGCAGAAACCGGACUGGGCAGUUUCUGCUGCUCGUGAGAAUUGCCUCAUGGUGUGUGAGCCUAAGCUCAGUUAUUUGUGGGUCGGUCCAUUGAUAUCAGUGGGACAUACACACAAAUACUUGGGUUCAAAUAAUCAUACCAUCAUAUAAGGAAACCUUGCGAGCAACCUUUUUUUUAGGAGUGGUGGUGUCAGCUGAGCAUUUUACAUACUGUUAACAACUCUUUCAAAUAGCCUCUGUCAGUAGAAAAUGUAUAGCAAACUAUUUGAUUUCCUGGUACCUGUAUUGGGAGAGACAACUCUCUCACUAAAUUUAACUUGAGAAGAAGAUCCAGUGGUCCACAAGCACCUCAGAUUUGCCAAAUGUCUUUCUUCACAAUUUCUGGCACAAACAUUUAUUAGUUGGAAGAUAAAACCACAUUCUCCAUUUGUAAUGUGUGCAGAAUAAACUCCAUGGAUAUGUCUAAA